UGAGCAAUCUGCCCUUCACUUUGGGAUAACUCCGGGAAACCGGUGCUAAUACCGAAUACGACCACCGAUGGCAUCGUCUGGUGGUGGAAAGUUCCGGCGGUGAAGGAUGAGCUCGCGGCCUAUCAGCUAGUUGGUGUGGGUAAUGGCCCACCAAGGCGACGACGGGUAGCCGGCCUGAGAGGGUGACCGGCCACACUGGGACUGAGACACGGCCCAGACUCCUACGGGA
rnacentral:rRNA from 1 species